rnacentral:rRNA from 1 species
GAUGAACGCUGGCGGCGUGCUUAACACAUGCAAGUCGAACGGUGAAGCAGGAGCUUGCUCCUGUGGAUCAGUGGCGAACGGGUGAGUAACACGUGAGCAAUCUGCCCUGGACUCUGGGAUAAGCGUUGGAAACGACGUCUAAUACCGGAUACGAGGCGUGGGGGCAUCCCCAACGCCUGGCAAGAACUUCGGUCCAGGAUGAGCGCGCGGCCUAUCAGGUAGUUGGUGAGGUAACGGCUCACCAAGCCUACGACGGGUAGCCGGCCUGAGAGGGUGACCGGCCACACUGGGACUGAGACACGGCCCAGACUCCUACGGGAGGCAGCAGUGGGGAAUAUUGCACAAUGGGCGCAAGCCUGACGCAGCAACGCCGCGUGAGGGACGACGGCCUUCGGGUUGUAAACCUCUUUUAGCAGGGAAGAAGCGAAAGUGACGGUACCUGCAGAAAAAGCACCGGCUAACUACGUGCCAGCCGCCGCCGUAAGAC